rnacentral:rRNA from 1 species
GUCUACAGCCAUGCCAGCCUGAACAAGCCCGAUCCCGUCUGAUCUCAGAAGCUAAGCAUAGUUGGGCCUGGUUAGUAUUUGGAUGGGAGAUCACCUAGGAAGAACAGGUGCUGUAGGCG